AAGUGCGAUAUAUAGUGCGAUCUGCAUGAAUCUGUGAGUCAUCUAGUAUUUGAACGCAACUUGCGCCGGCGGUGAGCAUGGCAUGUUCCAUCGAGUACCGGUAAAUGUGUGUGGUUUUGUGGUAACGCAAAACUAUGAAAUGGCGUGUGUCAGAGUCCACUCAGACUGCGCUAAAAUGGAGCAAGUGAAGGGUGAGGAUGUUCUCACGUGUGCUAGAGACAUUUGUCUUGUCACGCGGGAGCAGCCAAUCUCGAUUAAACUUCAACUAACUGGUCUCGGUGGAGCAAGAUUACCCGCUGAACUUAA
rnacentral:misc_RNA from 1 species